UUUUCUUUCUUCCCUCCGCCGAUCCGUUUCUUCCCUGCGUGCCGAACCUGUGCCUGUGCCCGUGCCCUAACCGACGCCGUUUCUCCUUCCCCACACGAUUAAAGCCAUCGCCUCUGCCCGAUCCCCUUUCCUCUUCCUCCCUCUCACGGCGUGGAUCAUCUCCUUUUUUUUCCCCGACAAAUCUCCCUCACGGGUUCCCCUCGCGCCGAUCGCCGCGAGCUCAUCGCUGGUAGCAAUCUUCCUCUCCCGAGCUCUGUCGAAGUCAAUUGCCAGUUGUUUCCCUCGCGCCGCCCUUGGUCGCCACGGCCGACAUCAGACGCUAGCCAACGAGCACCACCCGAUCCUCUCUUUCACCGAUGGUUUCUUCUUCCUUCCUCGGCCAUCUCUGCACGGGUGCAUCCCGACUCCAUUGCAGCUGCGCAUGCCCUAGCAUUGAGCCUUCUCCGUGCAUCUCUGCCUGAAGUCGCCAUCUAGACCGGUGGUCCUUGCGAGCAGCUAACCCCAUCGAACUCCUCUCGGCUGUCAAGCCCUCGACUACUGCUGUGGUCGGGUCCUAGUUGUGCCUUCUGUUCUCGGCGCACAACGCACACGAAUGUGUAUGCUGAUUACAUCAUUGUUGGGGUAAACACCAGCCUUCUGCCAUCGCCAAAGAACUACCACCAACAGGAGAUUAGGGGGACAAUGAUUUCACCCUCUCCGAUUAUCAUUAUCAACAGUAAGAACCUUCAGACAAAGUUCCCGGCAAUAGGCUUUUCUGGUUGUGAGUCAUCAGCGGAGUAUCCUGCUACCGACGAUCACAUUGGAGCUUCGCUUGGUCUCGACCACUGUUACUAAUGUGAGGAUGCUCCGUUAGUGAGGCAACAUCAGGGUGCACUGGAAUUGGGACUUUGAUUCAAGACGGGCUCCUCGACGUAGGAUUUCUGGAUACGAUCUUCUUUUGAGGCGGG